GUGGGGAAUAUUGGACAAUGGGCGAAAGCCUGAUCCAGCAAUGCCGCGUGAGUGAUGAAGGCCCUAGGGUUGUAAAGCUCUUUUACCCGGGAUGAUAAUGACAGUACCGGGAGAAUAAGCCCCGGCUAACUCCGUGCCAGCAGCCGCGGUAAUACGGAGGGGGCUAGCGUUGUUCGGAAUUACUGGGCGUAAAGCGCACGUAGGCGGCUGUUCAAGUCAGAGGUGAAAGCCUGGAGCUCAACUCCAGAACUGCCUUUGAAACUAGACAGCUAGAAUCAUGGAGAGGUGAGUGGAAUUCCGAGUGUAGAGGUGAAAUUCGUAGAUAUUCGGAAGAACACCAGUGGCGAAGGCGGCUCACUGGACAUGUAUUGACGCUGAGGUGCGAAAGCGUGGGGAGCAAAC
rnacentral:rRNA from 1 species